AUCCGAGGUUUCUCACAUCUCAACCCCGGCUGCGGAGGCAGUGAGCUCCGGGUUCUACAGGAAAUGGAGGGCACGAAUCUUUAGAGGACAGAGGGACGCCUAAACCCGGAGGCUUGCAAACUCCUGAGCAAGAGAAACCCCGCGGGACGGAGAGGCUGCUGUGUCUGUUCGGGGAUGGGGACAGAAGGGACGACGGGGGCACUCGCUCUAAGAGACGCGGAAGGGCGUGAAGCCGACUUACGGCUCCUUCUCCCGGCGGGGACCGGCUGGAUCCCGCAGGCUGCAGGUCUCCUCCGCCGCGGCCGCCUCCCUCUCGCGCCGAGCCGGUGACCUCUGGUCCACCGCGCGCCCCGUCCACCCGGAGCCGGAGGAUGCGCGCUGGAGGCCGCGGGAAGCGCCGCGCGAGCCCGACGGCGGGCGAGCUCACACCGGGCGGGCGCCCCAUCCUCCCCGGCUGGGCCCCGCUCUCGGGGCAGAAGGAGGGGCCGUGGCGCCGGCCGCCGCCGCUCGGUCAAGUCCAGCGCCUGUUCGUGCGCGCCCGGCCGCGGCCGCCGACCUCCCCUCGCCAGCCUCGGGCUCCGCCGCCGCCCACACCGCGAGUGCACGGCGGCCGCUGUCCGCUCCAGACGGCCGCAAGUGGCGCGGACCCGCUCGACCGCGGCCCCGCAGAGCGACCCGGAGGGUUUGCCGCCGCACACCUGAAGCAGGAUGGGGCGUAACCCCGGAAGAUAAAGCGGUAAUAAAUCCAUACUUGGUCUAGGAGCUCCAGACUACUCAAAAACCCAAAUUCCCAGACAGGAACAAUGGCGGUGAAGCGUGAGCAGUGCCAUGGGAGACAAGUACUGUUGGGUCUCACUCUGACCGGCUCUCAUAUCUCGGUGUUGAAAUGUCUCCGCCUUCCACCCCCUUUGGCUUUUCAAGACAAGGUUUCUCAGUGUAACUUUGGAGCACAUCCUGGAAGUUUCUCUGUAAACCAGGCUGGCCUCAAACUAGAGAGAUCUUCUUGCCUCUGCCUCCUGAGUGUUAGGAUUAAAGGCAUGUGCCACCACCACUGGGCUAACUUUUGCACUUUUUAAUGGGAUAAUUAUGCCAUCUUUUUCUCUUGUUUUGAGAAUAUGUUUCUCUUAGUUGGUCAGAAAUGGAAAUAGUUAAGUUGAACCAAAGUAAUACAUAAAACAUUUCAAGCAUUCCAGACACUUAGGUCAGUAUCUUCAUACAUUGUUUGUCCUCUAGAUUUCCUUUAGGUAUCUUGUAAAAUUUGAAUUCUUAAGCAUUUCAGAUGGGUUAUUUUUAUGUAUUUUUUAUAGGUAUGGGAAAUAGGUAUGAGGCCACUCGCAUAUUACUAGAGAAAGAAAAGUGCAAUCCAAACCUUUUAAAUGGCCCACCCAGCUCCCCUCCUCACUUUGCUGCUGGAGAGGGACAUGCAGAAACAGUGCCGAUCCUCCUAACCCACCCAGACAUUGACAGAUCUUGCCUGAUCGGCCCCUCGAGCCCUUCCCUUCGGCUACUUAUAGAAAAUGAUAAGAAGAUUCUGGCAGAAAUCCAGCUUGAAGGUGUUGCAGAACAAACAGAAAACCUACAAAAGGAGGGCUGCUAAAGAGUUACUGUCACGAAUUCAGAGAGGUUCUAGAAGCCCCAGGAAAAGCUGAAGGCAUUGAAGGAGGCAGCCAGUGGCCUCGGUUCAAACCACAGCGAAGAACUGCAGGCGGCAGAGGAGCUCCUGAGGGAAGCUGAGACCAAGACCCAGGAGAGCAACGGCCUGCUGCUCCUCGUCAAGGCCAACCUGAGAGAGUUCAGCCCAAGAACCCAAGUUUGGAAAAGCUGAUUCCUAUGAAAAACUGGAGAAACUAGGAGAAGGACCUUAUGCAACAGUUUACAAAGGGAAAAGCAAGCCUGUCGCCCGCGGCCCUCGAGGAAGCAGAGGAGCAGGACGAGGCGCCGCCUUCCCUGCGCUGUGCCGCGCGCCCUCGCCGCUUUUGUCUGCGCUGUGCGCUGGACCAGUUUCGCGAAGGUGCCUGGGCCCUCUGCAGCCCUGAUGUACAGACCUCAUUGAGCUGCAGCCGAGCGAGAAGAUCCGCAGGAUGAAGAACUUUGUCAGAGAGU